rnacentral:rRNA from 1 species
AGUGAACGCUGGCGGUAGGCCUAACACAUGCAAGUCGAACGGCGGCACAGUAAGAGCUUGCUCUUACGGGUGGCGAGUGGCGGACGGGUGAGGAAUACAUCGGAAUCUACUUUUUCGUGGGGGAUAACGUAGGGAAACUUACGCUAAUACCGCAUACGACCUACGGGUGAAAGCAGGGGAUCUUCGGACCUUGCGCGAUUGAAUGAGCCGAUGUCGGAUUAGCUAGUUGGCGGGGUAAAGGCCAACCAAGGCGACGAUCCGUAGCUGGUCUGAGAGGAUGAUCAGCCACACUGGAACUGAGACACGGUCCAGACUCCUACGGGAGGCAGCAGUCGGGAAUAUUGGACAAUGGGCGCAAGCCUGAUCCAGCCAUACCGCGUGGGUGACGAAGGCCUUCGGGUUGUAAAGCCCUUUUGUUGGGAAAGAAAAGCAGCAGGUUAAGACCCCGCUGUUCUGACGGUACCCAAAGAAUAAGCACCGGCUAACUUCGUG